rnacentral:lncRNA from 1 species
AGUUUAGAACCUCCGGGUGCAAAAAAGUGCGAACUCCCUGUCUCUUCCCCCAGGAGAUUCGGGCUGGGGACGCGGACCGAGUCGCGACUGGGGCAACCAGCUCCGCGUCUGGGACACUUUCCUCCUGCCUCAGUUUCCUCCGCCAAGCCCCGCCCUCCCGGCCCCGCCCCCGUCCCUCCCUACCCGAGGGCAGGGCGACCCGGACGCCGGAAUCCCGGAGGAGGAGGCGCGAGGCUCUUACCUGGGGCGCCCUCCUCUGCUCCCCGGCUGCCCCUGGCGCGGCGGCGGCUCCUCCUCCGGCUCGCUGGCUGCAGGGACGCCCGCUGGCCGCSGGCUCCGCGCGGCUCGCGCUCGGGAGGGCCUGGGUCGGGGGCGGGGGCGGGGCGGCGCCCGACGGCGGAGGAGGGGCGGGGGAUCCCGCCUUGCACGCGCGUGCCGGGACCUCGGAAGCCCGGCCUGGCUCGCGCAGCCCCCGCACCGCGGUCCCAGGAGUCGGGGCCCAGCCCCUCCCCCCUCAGACCCGGGAGACCAGGCCCCCGCCCCCGCUCCAGACCCCGGGGUACCAACCCCAGCCCUCCUCCCUCAGACCAAGGGUCCUGGAUCCCAGCCUUCCUCCCUCAGAUUCGUGUGUCUAGACCCGGUUCUCCUCCCUCGGAUCCAGGGUCCAGGCCCUCCUCUUUCAGGCCCUCCCUCAGAUCCAGGGGUACCGGCCCUCCAGCCCCUCCCCGCUCAGAUCCAGGGGUACCGGCCCUCCAGCCCCUCCCCGCUCAGAUCCAGGGGUACCGGCCCUCCAGCCCCUCCCCCCUCAGAUCCAGUGGUCCAGGCCCCAGCCCUCCUCCCUCACACCCAGGAGAUGGGCCUGAGAUCCUUUGCAGUCUUUUGCCAAUUCGGUGUCAAUCUGGGGACAGAUUCCCACCCUCUGCUCUCAUCCCCACUUUCCCAGGAGCUCCCCGCCAGACAUUAACCAGCUGGGCUUGGGCAGCGAUAAGGCCCGACGCCUCAGAGACAGUGGACGUGGGGGGCUCUCCUACAGAGUCCUGUCUCCUGGAAUUUCCUGGGUGGGGACUGGGGAGAGGGUCUUGUCCUGAGCUCAGUCAAGAAAAAUUCGAGGUAUUAAAGGACUUGGGGACAAAAAUGUUUUUAGAACAGGGUGACCUGUCUAGAGAAACUGAAAUGAUUCAGAUGCAGAGGGGAGGAGAAGCCAUAGAAAUAGAGGGAAAAGGACGGAGACUAAGGCAAAGAGGCGGGCAAAGACCUAGGGCGAGGGAUGGGGAACAAAGACCUGGGCAGAGAAGACAGAGGGGCAGACAUCCCAACAGAAGGGGAGGGAACCGGGGAGGGACAGGGCCUCGGAGAGAGCCCUUAAGAGAUGAGAUAGGAGCUAGAGAGUCCGGGACGGCCCUAUGGGUGGCAGGGCCUUCACCCUACCACACCUCCAUCCUGGGACUCUGCUCCCCUCCUCUGAGCUAUUUUUAG